AAAAUAAUAUUUAAUUUUACGGAAUGAAGUUAUCUGGUGGAACGAGUUUGGGUUGAUACUCAUACGGGACGAUAAUCUACGAGUGUAAUCUUAGAAUUAACAAUUUUAACACAAUUAUACAAUCUUAAACACUAAACAAAA
rnacentral:sRNA from 1 species